AGUGUCCUAGAUUUCACCUUUUUUGAGAUCUGGUUCUAUAUCACAAAGACAAAAGACCUUGGCGGGGGGGGGGGUGGAGAGAGAGAGAGAGAGGAGAGAGAUGGAGAGACCCAGCUGAUCUGCCAGAACCCAGGCCCCAGACACCUGCUGCUGAUGCAGCCACUUGGACAAGCCAGGUUGGACCUGCAGGGCCAGUCCAGAAGGUCAUUACGAAUCACAAAGCCAUUGUUGGUUUGAGGCCCUGGGUUUUGAGAUCCUUGGAGACACAGCAAUAAAUAAUCACGACAGUGACAACACAAUGAGAUAAUGUUUCAGAUUUUCCUUUUAUUCUGAUAAACAAAAAUGUUAAACUUCCUGAUAAAUAUCCUAGGCCCUGUAAAUUCAGAAAAAUGCCUACAAUUUUUAUCUAUCUGUGGUUCUUCCUUCCAUUUAUUUAGAAUUUAUAGACAGAACUGGUAAAACAGCCAUUCUAACACUGCAGGAUGAUAGAAAACAAGAGUCAGAGUUUUCUUCCACACCUGGGUCCCCAAUCCAUUUCCCGAGAGGUCAAUGCUAUGUGCAUCUCUUUUUGGAUCCUUUGAACAAAGAUAAAUCACACCUACACUUGCAGAUCUCUAUAUAUCUAUAUCAACAUCUAUGUCUAUCUUCUUUAUUGGCAGCAACAGGAUUAUGUAGUUUUGCACUGUUUUUUUCCCCAUUUAUGAUUGAUCUCAUACACAUUUCUGUUACCUGGGAACCUAUUUUGCAGUGUCUUACUGUAAUGAUGGGUCUGGGAUGGGCAGUUUUGCUGGUUCCAGUCUUGAAUAUUCACAUUAGCACAUCCUGAUAUACUUGUGCUUACAUAUCCACAGACGUCGCUUACAUAUUCCGAAUCGAAGGGCAUAUUUAUUUUACACUGUG
rnacentral:lncRNA from 1 species